AUCAGUGUAAUUCGCUUCACCUGUCAGUGUUCCUAAUGUUAUGCCUGAUUGGAAGGUGGCUCUUUUGUGGUCAUUUUGCUCUGAGCUGAGAAUCCUACAUAAGCUGUGGAUUACUUAUUACUUAACAUUAAGACAGUUGUCAGCAAAGUCCCAGCCAGACGUGGUCUGUGAGGGAGAAAGGAAUGAGGCCCAGCAGCUGCUCCAACUCGCUUUGCUCCUGUUGGCUGUGAAGGCUGAGCAGGUCCCAGUAAUAACGUCUACAGUACAUCAGAGCAUCAGACCAG